GAUGAACGCUGGCGGCGUGCCUAAUACAUGCAAGUCGAACGAAGUACAAGAAGCUUGCUUCUUGUAACUGAGUGGCGAACGGGUGAGUAAUACAUAAGCAACCUGCCUUAAUGCCUGGGAUAACAGUUGGAAACGAUUGCUAAUACCGGAUAAUGUUAUUUGGGGGCAUCCCUGAAUAACCAAAGCUUUAUGUGCUGAAAGAUGGCCUCGCGUCUGAUUAGCUAGAUGGCGGGGUAACGGCCCACCAUGGCGACGAUCAGUAGCCGGUCUGAGAGGAUGAACGGCCACAUUGGGACUGAGAUACGGCCCAG
rnacentral:rRNA from 1 species